AUUGAACGCUGGCGGCAGGCCUAACACAUGCAAGUCGCACGAGUGGCGGACGGGUGAGUAAUGUCUGGGAAACUGCCUGAUGGAGGGGGAUAACUACUGGAAACGGUAGCUAAUACCGCAUACCAUCGGAUGUGCCCAGAUGGGAUUAGCUAGUAGGUGGGGUAAAGGCUCACCUAGGCGACGAUCCCUAGCUGGUCUGAGAGGAUGACCAGCCAAACGUGAACGGAGACACGGGCCAGACUCCUACGGGAGGCAGCAGUGGGGAAUAUGUCACAAUUGGCGCAAGCCUAACGCAGCCAUGCCGCGUGUAUGAAGAAGGCCUUCGGGUUGUAAAGUACUUUCAGCGGGGAGGCGUUACCCGCAGAAGAAGCACCUGCUAAGUCCGUGCCAGCAGCCGCGUUAAUUC
rnacentral:rRNA from 1 species